GUAGGUGGCAAGCGUUGUCCGGAAUUAUUGGGCGUAGAGCGCGCGCAGGUGGUUCUUUAAGUCUGAUGUGAAAGCCCCCGGCUCAACCGGGGAGGGUCAUUGGAAACUGGGGAACUUGAGUGCAGGAGAGGAAAGUGGAAUUCUACGUGUAGCGGUGAAAUGCGUAGAUAUGUGGAGGAACACCAGUGGCGAAGGCGACUUUCUGGCCUGUAACUGACACUGAGGCGCGAAAGCGUGGGGAGCAAACAGGGAUUAGAUACCCUGGUAGUCCACGCCGUAAACGAUGAGUGCUAAGUGUUGGGGGGGUUUCCGCCCCCUCAGUGCUGCAGCUAACGCAUUAAGCACUCCGCCUGGGAGUACGGUCGCAAGACUG
rnacentral:rRNA from 1 species